CCCUCACAUCCUCAGCUGUGAAGACUGAUGCAAAUAAUUCAUUGUUUCUUCGCAAUGGCCUUCUUGUGCUUGAGUCCUCCUUAAGCUUCAAGAUC